AAGCGGCUACAGCUCAAAUUUGAAAUCUGGCCCUCUUCCGGGGGUCCGAGUUGUAAUUUGCAGAGGAUGCUUUGGCAUUGGCGGCGGUCUAAGUUCCUUGGAACAGGACAUCGCAGAGGGUGAGAAUCCCGUAUGUGGGCGCCUGCCUUUGCCGUGUAAAGCUCCUUCGACGAGUCGAGUUGUUUGGGAAUGCAGCUCUAAAUGGGAGGUAAAUUUCUCCUAAAGCUAAAUACCGGCCAGAGACCGAUAGCGCACAAGUAGAGUGAUCGAAAGAUGAAAAGUACUUUGGAAAGAGAGUCAAAUAGCACGUGAAAUUGUUGAAAGGGAAGCGCUUGCAGCCAGACUUGCCCGCAGUUGCUCACCCAGGCUCUUGCCUGGGGCACUCUUCUGCGGGCAGGCCAGCAUCAGUUUGGGCGGUCGGAUAAAGGCCUCUGUCACGUACCACCUUUCGGGGUGGCCUUAUAGGGGAGGCGCAAUGCGGCCAGCCCGGACUGAGGUCCGCGCAUCUGCUAGGAUGCUGGCGUAAUGGCUGUAAGCGGCC
rnacentral:rRNA from 1 species